UGGGGAAUUUUGGACAAUGGGCGAAAGCCUGAUCCAGCAAUGCCGCGUGUGUGAAGAAGGCCUUCGGGUUGUAAAGCACUUUUGUCCGGAAAGAAAUCCUUGGCUCUAAUACAGUCGGGGGAUGACGGUACCGGAAGAAUAAGCACCGGCUAACUACGUGCCAGCAGCCGCGGUAAUACGUAGGGUGCAAGCGUUAAUCGGAAUUACUGGGCGUAAAGCGUGCGCAGGCGGUUUGCUAAGACCGAUGUGAAAUCCCCGGGCUCAACCUGGGAACUGCAUUGGUGACUGGCAGGCUAGAGUAUGGCAGAGGGGGGUAGAAUUCCACGUGUAGCAGUGAAAUGCGUAGAGAUGUGGAGGAAUACCGAUGGCGAAGGCAGCCCCCUGGGCCAAUACUGACGCUCAUGCACGAAAGCGUGGGGAGCAAACAGGAUUAGAUACCCUGGUAGUCCACGCCCUAAACGAUGUCAACUAGUUGUUGGGGAUUCAUUUCCUUAGUAACGUAGCUAACGCGUGAAGUUGACCGCCUGGGGAGUACGGUCGCAAGUUAAAAACUCAAAGGAAUUGACGGGGUCAUAGCUGUUUCCU
rnacentral:rRNA from 1 species